GGAGACGAAGAUCCAGGGAAAGGCUGAAAAGCGGCUUGGGUGUGUUCCAGGUGAUGGCACCUGCCCUGCGAGCUCAAGGUUUCAGGUGAGGAAACCGAAGCACAGAGAAGGUAAUUGUCCAAACAUGCUAGCACUCAGCUCAUAAAUGUGGAGCUGAGAAGCUAACCUUGAUUUGAGUGACUCAGAAUCCAGCCUUUUUUCCAUUGGAGCACAUUCCGUAAACCCUUGGUUCAUUAGGACGGAAGAAAGGAAGACAAAUCUGGCCCAUUGGGUGUGAUUUCCAUCUUCAAGAUCAUUUUAUUAUCUAAUAUGGCUGCUGGAAUUUGAACUAUUAUGCUCCAUUCCAUGAAUAAGAAGGAGAAGAUGAAG